AUGGGUCAUGGUCAGGGUCAUGUUAUCAUACCAAUAUUUCUCUUCUUUUCAUUUGCACCUUACUACAUCACUUUGGCCGAAUCGAUAGAUCUGGGUGGCACUCUACAAACAAAUGAGAAGGAUGGUACUCUUUCAAGAUCCAAUCCUUUUCAGCUCAAAGGGAGAAUGAAAACUGAUGGAAAAGGCAACACUAAAUCUCAUUAUGCAAUGUGGCACACGGAGCCAGGAAAAUUCUAUGGUCUUCGAGCUGAAAUGAGUAUAUGGGGUUCACCUAAUCAAGAAAACUCUCAAGAAUCCGGAUCAGCCAUACAGAUCUACUGUCAAGAAGGGGAACACUACAGCUUAAUUGAAGUUGGGUUUCAUGUUUCCCCCUCUUUGUAUCAUAACCGAGACGUUCGAUUCUUUACAUACACGACGAGGGACACCAAAUCUGCAGGCUGCUAUAACUUGCAGUGCCCAGGAUUUGUCCCUGCAAGAGGAGCUGCGCUAGUGCCUGGCCAAGCUAUUUCUCCCCCAUCAAUUUAUGGCCAAGCCGAUCACUACGCCAGGCUUAGCCUAAACAAGGAUCCGAAUUCUGGGGAUUGGGUGGUGUAUCGACACGAUUUAGACCGUCCAUCAUUCUUGGGGCAUUUUCCAGGACAACUUUGCCCUGGAGAAUCACGAAUACAAGCCCUGACAGGAUUUGUUAAUUACCUAAAUAAUACACAUGGCCCUCCAAUGGGAAGUGGUCAAUUCCCAGAUGAUGAAGAUGAUAAGAGAUCUGCAUACUUUAAGCAUAUUAAGAUCUACGAUGCCAACGGCCAUGCUCGGGACCCAAUUACAACUCACAUGAUCAAGUUAGUUGACAGGCCAGAUUGCUACAAAGAAACUGACUUCACUGUUAAAAUCAAUAGGGGCUACAUAUUUUACUAUGGUGGUCCAAAUGGUUGUAUUGGUUGA
rnacentral:rRNA from 1 species